AGAAAAAAGAAUCCAAACCAAAAAACAACAAAUAUGUCAACAUUUAUACAGAUGAAGGUGUUAAUCAACAAGAGGUGUUUUUUAAAGUCGUUAAAGGUCGUCGCAAUUGUAAUUUUCGAGCAUCUAGACAUGGUUUAGUAAAUAACUGUUUGGGUUGUGGUCGAGUUGUAUGCAAACAAGUAGGAUCUGGUCCAUGUAUUAAAUGGUGGUAGGUAUGUUUGAAUGAUGUGAAAAUUUUGUUGAAUUGCAAUAAUAAUAAAUCCAAACAAUUGUAUAACCAAUUAAUUGAACAAGCUAUUACGGCACCGGCAGACAAACAACAAAGCUCUUGAACAUUCUGAUAAGCAACUAGAGUUUGAUCAUGCCAGGUUAAGAACAUCAAAGUAUUUUCAAUUACAGGUUAAUAAA